AUACGCCUGUUAUAUUGUUGAUGUCCUGACCGACCUGACACCAGCAGUGCUCCUAACGUGCGAGGUCAGAAUACUGAUAGUGGGAGCAUCUGCCGUGAAGCCUCCUUUGAAGGAAUUAGUCGUUUCCAAGUGAACAACACCCUUUUACACCCAGUCAUUGUGGAAUGCCGUCGAUUAAGACUGAUAUGGAGCUGGAAGUCUGCGCUACACCAACGGAUUUCCAGUGAAGCCCAUAAAAUG